rnacentral:rRNA from 1 species
CCUACGGGUGGCAGCAGUGAGGAAUAUUGGUCAAUGGGCGCGAGCCUGAACCAGCGAAGUAGCGUGAAGGAUGACUGCCCUACGGGUUUUAAACUUCUUUUAUAAAGGAAUAAAGUGAGGCACGUGUGCCUUUUUCUAUGUACUUUAUGAUUACGGCUCGGCUAACUCCGCGCCAGCAGCCGCGGUAAUACGGAGGAUCCGAGCGUUAUCCGGAUUUAUUGGGUUUAAAGGGAGCGUAAAUGGGUUGGUAAGUUAGUUGUGAAAGUUUGCGGCUCAACCGUAAAAUUGCAAUUGAUACUGGCAGUCUUGAGUACAGUUGAGGUAGGCGGAAUUCGUGGUGUAGCGGUGAAAUGCUUAGAUAUCACGAAGAACUCCGAUUGCGAAGGCAGCUUACUAAGCUGCCACUGACAUUGAUGCUCGAAAGUGUGGGUAUCAAACAGGAUUAGAUACCCCAGUAGUC